AAAAUAAUCCUACCCUUUGUGAAUUUUGUUUGUUUGAAUAAUUUUUUUUUUUAAAAAAUUAUUGGAGUCUUUCCCUUUAGAGUUUGCUUUUGAGUUUGUAAAAGAAUUCGAAAACAUCUAAAGGGGAUGGUCAAUAAUUUUUUUUGAAAAAAGACAUUUUUUAAAAUUAAACUUUUUGUAUUCAUUUGUCUAAAAAUUAUUUUUUAUAAUAUAAAAACAACUUUUGACAAUGGAUCUCUUGGUUCUCCCAACGAUGAAGAACGCAGCAAAAUGCGAUAAGUAGUGUGAAUUGCAGAAUACGUGAAUCAUCGAAUCUUUGAACGCAUAUUGCACUUUUUUAGUUUACUAAAAAAGUAUGUCUGUUUGAGUAUCAGUAAAAUAUUCUCAUAAAAAUCAUUGUGUAUUUUUAUGGUUAUGAGUGUUUUACAACGAUACAAGUUGUUUCACUUUAAAUUUUUUUUUAAUAUUGAAAUUUUUCUAAUUUUAAUAAUUAAAAUUGGAUAAAAUUUUCCCGUCAAAAGGAAUAACCUAAACAAUUUAAACGAUUAAUUUUAGCAAAAUUUUCGAAAAAAAGGAAAAUUUUUAUUAAAAUAACUUGAUCUCAAAUCAGAUAAGAGUACCCGCUGAACUUAAGCAUAUCAAUAAGCGGAGGAAAAGAAACUAACAAGGAUUCCCUUAGUAACGGCGAGUGAAGCGGGAGAGCUCAAAUUUGAAAUCUUCAAGGUUUUACCUUGACGAAUUGUAGUUUAAAGAAGUGUUUUCUGCUGAAGUUUUGGUAAAAGUUCUUUGGAAUAGGACAUCAUAGAGGGUGAGAAUCCCGUAUUUGACCAUUAUUUUCAGCUUUGUGAUACACUUUCAAAGAGUCGGAUUGUUUGGGAAUGCAGUCCAAAAUGGGUGGUAAAUUUCAUCUAAAGCUAAAUAUUGGCGAGAGACCGAUAGCGAACAAGUACCGUGAGGGAAAGAUGAAAAGAACUUUGAAAAGAGAGUUAAACAGUACGUGAAAUUGUCAAAAGGGAAGCGUUUGACACCAGUGUUGUUUUCUCGAGAAUCAAUUAAAAAUGGCUCGAUUUUGUAUUGCUUGAGACCUUAAAAGCUCAUUGUACAUUUUUCGUGUCUUUUUUAAUGCACUUUUCGUUUAACAAGUCAACAUCAGUUUCUUUUGUUGUAAAAGGGUCAUUGGAAGGUGGCUUUCUUUUCGGAGAAGUGUUUAUAGCCUUUGGCCUCUGCAAUCGGAGAGACUGAGGUCUGCAGCGUAGACUCUUCGGGUUAGAUACAUUUGUGCUAAGUUAUAGCUUUUAUAGACAACUUGUUGACUAUAAUUAGUCUUGUAGCUUACUCGCUUAUGCUAUUU
rnacentral:misc_RNA from 1 species